AUGUGUUGGCAGUCACACGUCUGGUUGGUUUAUCUACAUAUGAAACUUUAUGUAUUUUUAUUAACUUGAUUUUGUGACCUUCUUUGUAUAUGCAGGUAAUUUUAUACCAGAUUAUUGGUGGGGCGGUGACCUAAUUAGUACCUUUGGUUGACUGGUAUGUGAUUUUCUUUUUGCAGGUUUUCUUGUUUUUCUGUUUGGUUUCAGGGCUCAGAGGUAUAUUUGUUUCUUUGAUGGGUUGUUAUUUUCUUUAUUGUCAGUGACAUAUUAAGAGUGCUUUCAUAGAUGAGUUGUACUAAGCACUUUGCUGGGUUGUGAUUUUCUUUAUUGUCAGUGACAUAUUAAGAGUGGGUUCAUAGAUGAGUUGUACCAAACACUUGAAUGAUCACAUAUUAAGUUUGCUUUGAGCUUGUCAACUUCAUUGUCAGUUUUUGAAUAUAUUCUUUUUGUGCUUAUCAGUUUCAUGGCUCACCAUAUGCAUGAUGGACAAGUUAAUUGACCUCAGGCACUAUUUUGGCCAUCCUUCUCCUUUACACACUCCAAUCCCGCUCCAUUGCCUCUUAAUCCCUAGCCCUAAAACACAAACCCUAACACCGUAGCCCCAAAUAUCUUUCAUCUCAUAUAUGCGCUCUCAAUUGCUCUCUUGCUUCUUUAAAGUUUUCUCUUUGUCAGGUUAUUAAGGUCUAUGAAAUUUUUGAGUUGGGGCUUUGCAGGGACGACCCCACAUCAAAAUGAAUUUGGGUGGUUUUGAAGAUUCUGCGCUUCUCAGAAUAGCAUGGGAAGUAUCGCUCUCUUUGCUGUCCAAGAACACAACAAGCGACAGAAUGGUGUGCUUGAGUUUGCGAGGGUGUUGAAUUUAAGGGAACAAGUGGUGGUUUAAAUUUGAAUUUAACUGGGCAAACCUUUGUUUUGGUUCUAACAAUUCAAAGCUAUAUUCUUUUAAACGUUGUGCUAUGUUCAGCAAGAUGGGUUGGAGUGCCAUUGCAGAGUCCCUGUACAAGCUUUGCUGCUGUGAAGUUAUCAGGGGAUUAAGCACCAAAGAAGUGAGUUUUUACGCCCCUCAGAUUCAAUUGAUUUACCCAUUCUCGGCUAGUGUUUAGUGUUUGUCCUAGAACCCUAUUUAUACAUAUUAACUAUUCUAUUUAGCUAAUGGCAUGUUUAUGAAGAAGAGACUCGAUGAAGUGUGCCUUGAAAGGUAUGAACAAUAUAGCCGAACCUAUAUACAGUCAUGGAUCUUACACGGUGGUGUAGGUAAAGUAGUAGUGGAUGCGAAGGUGGUCAACAAAGCCGAUACUCCAAAUUUGAUAAAUCUGCUAUCAAGAUUAUGGCUGAAAUCCCCAAAUAUAUAUGUACCUAAGCUUUAAACUCUAAUGAACUGGCUUUCUUCCGGUAUUCUCAUAUUGAAGCAAGGAAAUGGCCACUUGAAAGUUUUGUUGAAGAGAUCUCGAGAGCAGAUGAGUUGGUGCUCUAUUGAUGACUUUCCCCGCACCAGAAUUUACCUCACUCCAAGCUUCAAUGAUUUGCAAUUGCUAACUUUUAGUCUGGUGCUUUAUUUGUGCAUAUGUAUAUGAUCUACAAAUAAACUAAUUGUUUUUUAUUCAAGGAAUACAAAAAAAUCUGGAA